UUUGCUAAGCGGUAUUUUUAAUACUUUUUAAAGGUAGGAGUAAAACUAACUUUAAUGUAUAUUUGAGGGUCUGUUCUAAAGCUUCUAGAUUUGCCUAAAGAAUUUCCUGCUAACUUGUACUUGACACCUUCCUAGUUUUUCUUGGCAGCCAUUUUUUAUCUGUGAUAUCUCCUGCCACAGCAGCCAGAGGGCAGUAAACCACAAUGGACUAAUUGAGCUGUUUACCUUAAGGUUCAUUUAUCUAUUCAACUCAGACUUUUCUGUUGUUAUUUUUUAGGGUAUUUGAAUUAUCAAUAUAAGAGCCCAUUCUGGGUGAGACUGCUUUCCUUAGCAAGAUCUCAUAACUUAACAUUCAUCUCAAAACUAUCUUAUGUAGUUAGUAGUUAACACAGGUAAAAUUAAGAGUUUUAGAACAUCUGGAUUCUAUGUAUCAGAAUUUGCAAAAUAAGGUAUCUCCUAGAAGAUACUUAUAAUAUUUUUGUUUGUUUAUGUAAAUAUUAAAACAUAUAUUUUUGAGCUCACUCGGUGCGCUGCUGCCGGGAAGUGGCUAUACUAUGUCGGGCCCUUUUGAAGAGCGCAGUGGGGUGGUUCCAUGCGGUACCCCGUGGGGCCAGUGGUACCAGACGUUGGAGGAGGUGUUCAUUGAAGUUCAGGCGCUGCCAGGCAGUUGCGCCCAGGAUAUCCAGUGUGGUCUGCAGAGCAGGCAUGUGGCGCUGGCCGUGGGUGGCUGCGAGAUCCUCAAGGGCAAACUUUUGAUUCUACAAUAGCUGAUGAGGGAACAUGAACUUGGGAAUCUGAAUAUGCAGCUGAUCCUUGGGUACAAGACCAAAUGCAGAGAAAGCUUACAUUAGAGAGAUUCCAGAAAGAAAAUCCUGGUUUUGACUUAAGUGGAGCAGAAAUCUCAGGAAACUACACUAAAGGUGGACCAGAUUUCUCAAACCUUGAAAAAUAACCAGUGUUUUUUUGCCGCAUUCAGUGGAUUUUAGCAGAUAUUGCCAACUUAAUCAUAGGAACAGAUUACGUGGUGGAAGAAAAAUGUGGAUGCCUACAGUUAACAAAUUGCAAAAUAUAUUUUAAAUGGUUCUAAAAAUUGCAUUCAAGUAUGAUUUACAUAGGAAACAUGUCCUGUGGGAACUACUGUAUGGCUAUAUGGUAACUUUUUUUUGGACUUGUUUUUGCUCAGCAUGAAAUUUUAUAUGCUAUAUUUUACUAAUUUAACCAUAUUUUUAAUACAAAAAAAUUAGGGUAGACCAUGUGAAAUGAAAGAGUGCUAUCAGGUAAUACUAAGUUUUCUUUUGAUAAGUGUGGUGUUCAAUAAAGUUUUCUAAAUAGGAAAAAAAAA